CAGCCGCCGCGGGAAUACGAAGGGGGCUAGCGUUGUUCGGAUUUACUGGGCGUAAAGGGUGCGUAGGCGGAUUGUCAAGUCAGGGGUGAAAUCCCGAGGCUCAACCUCGGAACUGCCUUUGAUACUGGCGAUCUUGAGUCCGGGAGAGGUGAGUGGAACUGCGAGUGUAGAGGUGAAAUUCGUAGAUAUUCGCAAGAACACUGGUGGCGAAGGCGGCUCACUGGCCCGGUACUGACGCUGAGGCACGAAAGCGUGGGGAGCAAACAGGAUUAGAUACCCGCGUAGUCCCUGUCUCUUAUAC
rnacentral:rRNA from 1 species